UAUGAAGGUCCCGAGCGUUGUUCGGAAUCACUGGGCGUAAAGGGAGCGUAGGCGGCGCGGUAAGUCAGAUGUGAAAUCCCGGGGCUCAACCCCGGAACUGCAUCCGAUACUGCCGUGCUAGAGGAUUGGAGAGGUAGCUGGAAUUCUUGGUGUAGCAGUGAAAUGCGUGGAGAUCAAGAGGAACACUCGUGGCGAAAGCGAGCUACUGGACAAUAUCUGACGCUGAGGCUCGAAGGCCAGGGUAGCGAAAGGG
rnacentral:rRNA from 1 species